GCUGGGUGUGGUGGUGCACACCUGUAAUCUCAGCUACUCUGGAGGCUGAGGCACAGGAAUCACUUGAACCCAGGAGAUGGAGGUUGCAGUGAGCCACGGUCAUGCCACUGCACUCCAGCCUGGGUGACAGAGUGAGACCGUGUCUCAA
rnacentral:SRP_RNA from 1 species